GAUGAACGCUGGCGGCGUGCCUAAUACAUGCAAGUCGAGCGAACGGACGAGAAGCUUGCUUCUCUGAUGUUAGCGGCGGACGGGUGAGUAACACGUGGAUAACCUACCUAUAAGACUGGGAUAACUUCGGGAAACCGGAGCUAAUACCGGAUGAUAUUUUGAACCGCAUGGUUCAAAAGUGAAAGACGGUCUUGCUGUCACUUAUAGAUGGAUCCGCGCUGCAUUAGCCAGUUGGUAGGGUAACGGCUUACCAAGGCAACGAUGCAUAGCCGACCUGAGAGGGUGAUCGGCCACACUGGAACUGAGACACGGUCCAGACUCCUACGGGAGGCAGCAGUAGGGAAUCUUCCGCAAUGGGCGAAAGCCUGACGGAGCAACGCCGCGUGAGUGAUGAAGGUCUUCGGAUCGUAAAACUCUGUUAUUAGGGAAGAACAUAUGUGUAAGUAACUGUGCACAUCUUGACGGUACCUAAUCAGAAAGCCGCGGCUAACUACGUG
rnacentral:rRNA from 1 species